rnacentral:rRNA from 1 species
GUGGGGAAUAUUGGACAAUGGGCGCAAGCCUGAUCCAGCCAUGCCGCGUGUGUGAAGAAGGCCUUUUGGUUGUAAAGCACUUUAAGCGAGGAGGAGGCUCCUUUAGUUAAUACCUAAAGAGAGUGGACGUUACUCGCAGAAUAAGCACCGGCUAACUCUGUGCCAGCAGCCGCGGUAAUACAGAGGGUGCGAGCGUUAAUCGGAUUUACUGGGCGUAAAGCGUGCGUAGGCGGCUUUUUAAGUCGGAUGUGAAAUCCCUGAGCUUAACUUAGGAAUUGCAUUCGAUACUGGAAAGCUAGAGUAUGGGAGAGGAUGGUAGAAUUCCAGGUGUAGCGGUGAAAUGCGUAGAGAUCUGGAGGAAUACCGAUGGCGAAGGCAGCCAUCUGGCCUAAUACUGACGCUGAGGUACGAAAGCAUGGGGAGCAAACAGGAUUAGAAACCCUGGUAGUCC